AAAAAAGCAAACCCCAGAUCAAGUUUUACAUUCAAUGUAAAAGCAUGUCUGGUUUAGAGACAUUGAGAUUGCAUGUUCUCAGGUAAAAGCAUGCCCGGUCUAGAGACAUUGAGAUUGCAUUCUCUCAGGUACUUGUUUACAUUCAACAGUUACAAGUGUUCACAUGAAGAGAAUGAACAGACCUGCUGGACAUGAUGCAUUUCUAGGUUAAUGGAUUCAAUGAAAAUCAAAAUAUCUGUGAUAAUAUAAUGUAUCUGUUACAAUAAAAAUAUCUGAUAUUUGUAUAAAAAUAUCUGUAAUAUUUGUAUCUUUUAAUCAUAUAUCCAAACAGUUCAUGAGAUAGAUAGAUAGAGAGAGAGAGAGAGUGAGAGAGAGAGUGAGAGUCAGAGAAAGAGAGAGAGAGUCAGAGAAAAAGAGAGAGAGAGAGAGAGAAUCAGUCAAAGAGAGAAAGAGAGAGACAGAGAAAUAGAGAGAGAGAGUCAGAGAAUCAGUCAAAGAGAGAGAGACAGAGAAAGAGAGAGAGAGAGUCAGAGAGAGAGAAUCAGUCAAAGAGAGAGAGAGAAAGAAAGAGAACAGAGUAAAAGAAAAAGAGAAACUUCAUACAAGGGUGGACUUAUUUCUUGAAACAAAACAACGAGAUUUACCUUCCUGUCCUUAAUCUGAAUAUGCAUCACACAAGAGAAGGUGAUUCGAAUGACAAACAGAUCCCAUUUAUUCAUGUUAAUGCAUCACUCUGACAAGUAACAGGCAAAAGGUGACAAAUUUAACACAUUUUCGGCAGACUAAUUUGCAUAAAUUUGCAUAUCAUAUUAUGUAUGAACUUUUUAACAAACAUUCUACUACAUUUAUGCAAUGUAAAAACAGUUCUCAGGUUUCAUUAAGACACCAGUACUGUACAGUGUAUUUCUGUAGAGAAUUAGUUUAUUAAUUUAGAGCACUCUCCCCGACAAUCAUUUCUUAUAUCUGAAUUUUAAAAUAAUGACUUAAUUAUUGAAUUAUGAUUCAAUAAAUCACGAUUACAUGGUCUAAUUCAAUGCUUGUUGUCACACC